rnacentral:rRNA from 1 species
CUUCAACGGAGAGUUUGAUCCUGGCUCAGGAUGAACGCUGGCGGCGUGCUUAACACAUGCAAGUCGAACGAUGACCCGGUGCUUGCACCGGUGAUUAGUGGCGAACGGGUGAGUAACACGUGAGUAACCUGCCCUUAACUCUGGGAUAAGCCUGGGAAAC